rnacentral:lncRNA from 1 species
AAUACUCAUCUUUCUUUCCCCCCGAUAAUCCCUCUGCAACAAGCUACACCAGAGCAAGAAUAUCUCAUAUCAUCAGGGUUAAAAGCAAGAGUAUCCCAUAUUAUGCUUUUUCCCUGUCUUUUCCUUUGGCCUUGUUCUUACCUGCAAGACAAGGAGAAAGAGAGCAAUCAGUCAGCACUUGGAAUCAAGCUUCUAGUCAGGAACUGACUGCCUGGAACCCCUUACCUGAUUACUUACCUGGCAUUGCUCUCGAGUACUCAUCUUCAACAUCUUAUGCUUCCAGAGAAGAUAC